rnacentral:rRNA from 1 species
CCCUUAGAUGUCCUGGGCUGCACGCGUGCUACAAUGAUACGUGCAACGAGUUAAUCCUGCUCUGAAAGGAGUGGGUAAUCUUAUGAAUGCGUAUCGUGCUUGGGAUUGACCAUUGUAAUUAUUGGCCAUGAACGAGGAAUUCCUAGUAAGCACAAGUCAUCAGCUUGUGCUGAUUACGUCCCUGCCCUUUGUACACACCGCCCGUCGCUCCUACCGAUUGAGUGUUCCGGUGAAUUAUUCGGACUGCAACAGUUAUCUGUCGCGGAAAGUCUUGUGAACCUUAACACUUAGAGGAAGGAAAAGUCGUAACA